rnacentral:rRNA from 1 species
UGGGGAAUAUUGCACAAUGGGCGCAAGCCUGAUGCAGCCAUGCCGCGUGUAUGAAGAAGGCCUUCGGGUUGUAAAGUACUUUCAGCGGGAGGAAGGCAGUUGUGGUUAGUUAAACCACAGCAGAUUGACGUUACCCGCAGAAGAAGACAACCGGCUAACCGCUAGUCGCCAGCAGCCGCGGUAAUACGGAGGGUGCAAGCGUUAAUCGGAAUUACUGGGCGUAAAGCGCACGCAGGCGGUCUGUCAAGUCGGAUGUGAAAUCCCCGGGCUCAACCUGGGAACUGCAUUCGAAACUGGCAGGCUAGAGUCUUGUAGAGGGGGUAGAAUUCCAGGUGUAGCGGUGAAAUUGCGUAGAGAUCUGGAGGAAUACCGGUGGCGAAGGCGGCCCCCUGGACAAAGACUGACGCUCAGGUGCGAAAGCGGCGGGAGCAAAACA